rnacentral:rRNA from 1 species
AUCCUGGCUCAGGACGAACGCUGGCGGCGUGCUUAACACAUGCAAGUCGAACGAUGAAGCCCUUCGGGGUGGAUAGUGGAACGGGUGAGUAACACGUGGGCAAUCUGCCCUUCACUCUGGGACAAGCCCUGGAAACGGGGUCUAAUACCGGAUACGAGCCUCCAAGGCAUCUUGGAGGUUGGAAAGCUCCGGCGGUGAAGGAUGAGCCCGCGGCCUAUCAGCUUGUUGGUGAGGUAAUGGCUCACCAAGGCGACGACGGGUAGCCGGCCUGAGAGGGCGACCGGCCACACUGGGACUGAGACACGGCCCAGACUCCUACGGAGGCAGCAGUGGGGAAUAUUGCACAAUGGGCGAAAGCCUGAUGCAGCGACGCCGCGUGAGGGAUGACGGCCUUCGGGUUGUAAACCUCUUUCAGCAGGGAAGAAGCGAGAGUGACGGUACCUGCAGAAGAAGCGCCGGCUAACUACGUGCCAGCAGCCGCGGUAAUACGUAGGGCGCAAGCGUUGUCCGGAAUUAUUGGGCGUAAAGAGCUCGUAGGCGGCUUGUCACGUCGAUUGUGAAGCUCGGGGCUUAACCCCGAGUCUGCAGUCGAUACGGGCUAGCUAGAGUGUGGUAGGGGAGAUCGGAAUUCCUGGUGUAGCGGUGAAAUGCGCAGAUAUCAGGAGGAACACCGGUGGCAAGGGGAUCUCUGGGCCAUUACUGACGCUGAGGAGCGAAAGCGUGGGGAGCGAACAGGAUAGAUACCCUGGUAGUCCACGCCGUAAACGGUGGGAACUAGGUGUUGGCGACAUUCCACGUCGUCGGUGCCGCAGCUAACGCAUUAAGUUCCCCGCCUGGGGAGUACGGCCGCAAGGCUAAAACUCAAAGGAAUUGACGGGGGCCCGCACAAGCGGCGGAGCAUGUGGCUUAAUUCGACGCAACGCGAAGAACCUUACCAAGGCUUGACAUACACCGGAAAGCAUUAGAGAUAGUGCCCCCCUUGUGGUCGGUGUAC